CGAGUCGGCCGGGCGGUCGCGUCAGCACGUCGGGGAACCGGUGUACUGCCGAGGAACGUCCGGGCUCCACAGGGCAGGGUGGUGGGUAACGCCCACCCGGGGUGACCCGCGGGACAGUGCCACAGAAAACAGACCGCCACCGGGACCGGUCGCGAGACCGGGACCGGCGGUAAGGGUGAAACGGUGCGGUAAGAGCGCACCAGCGCCCCGGGUGACCGGGGCGGCUCGGUAAACCCCACCCGGAGCAAGGUCAAAAGGCGGCUCCGGCCGCUGCGCAGGCGUUCGAGGGCGGCCCGCCCGAGCCUGCGGGUAGACCGCUGGAGGCCGUCGGCAACGGCGGCCCUAGAUGGAUGACCGUCGCCGGCGGCGUCGAUAGGCGCCGUCGGAACAGAACCCGGCGUACAGGCCGACUCGUCCG
rnacentral:RNase_P_RNA from 1 species